UACAGAGGGUGCGAGCGUUAAUCGGAAUUACUGGGCGUAAAGCGCGCGUAGGCGGCUUUGCAAGUCGAUUGUGAAAUCCCCAGGCUUAACCUGGGAACUGCAUUCGAGACUGCAUAGCUAGAGUAUGGGAGAGGGAAGUGGAAUUUCAGGUGUAGCGGUGAAAUGCGUAGAUAUCGGGAGGAACACCAGUGGCGAAGGCGGCUGCCUGGACCUUUGCUGACGCUGAGGCGCGAAAGCGUGGGGAGCGAUCCGG
rnacentral:rRNA from 1 species